GAUGAACGCUGGCGGCGUGCCUAAUACAUGCAAGUCGAGCGAACGGACGAGAAGCUUGCUUUUCUGAUGUUAGCGGCGGACGGGUGAGUAACACGUGGAUAACCUACCUAUAAGACUGGGAUAACUUCGGGAAACCGGAGCUAAUACCGGAUAAUAUUUUGAACCGCAUGGUUCAAAAGUGAAAGACGGUCUUGCUGUCACUUAUAGAUGGAUCCGCGCUGCAUUAGCUAGUUGGUAAGGUAACGGCUUACCAAGGCAACGAUGCAUAGCCGACCUGAGAGGGUGAUCGGCCACACUGGGACUGAGACACGGUCCAGACUCCCACGGGAGGCAGCAGUAGGGAAUCUUCCGCAAUGGGCGAAAGCCUGACGGAGCAACGCCGCGUGAGUGAUGAAGGUCUUCGGAUCGUAAAACUCUGUUAUUAGGGAAGAACAUAUGUGUAAGUAACUGUGCACAUCUUGACGGUACCUAAUCAGAAAGCCACGGCUAACUACGUG
rnacentral:rRNA from 1 species